UGAGGUAUACAUCUUACACAGCAAGAGAAUUAUUCUUGAGAAGAAAAAUUACUUUGAGAAAGUAAUAGUGCAAUAUAAAAUAAAGAUAGAAAAAUACUAGUACAAGAAAAUUAUUUCUUGUUCUUCUACCUUUGAGUUGAAAUUUUUGAGAAAUAUUUCAACACAAUAUUUUCAUUCGAUUUGUUCACGGGGUUUCAUUGAUCAAGGAGUUGAUAGCAAGGACCAGUCUUGGUGUGGAUACACAUGGAGUCUUCGCACUAUCGAAGAAAUUUAAAAACGAAUCUCUCUUCACAAGAUCCAGGGCAGUCUCAGGCUUAGUAGAUCCAGUUGAUCAGUAGAUCCAGCUUCUGGGAGUAUCAAGGUAGCUGCACGGCGUUCGCAACCAUUGAUCUUCUCAUUCCUAUCCUAUCUUUUUUUUUAUUUCCGCAUCAUCAGACUUUGGAUAUACUAUGUAUUAGGAUGAUAAUCUGUAUUCUAGAGGCUCAGAUUCGUGA